UAUAUGUUCUACGACCAAAGAGACUCCUGCAUGGUCAGGAUUCCUGGCUCUCACCCAGGAGGCCCGAGUUCGAUUCCCGGUGGCAGAU